rnacentral:rRNA from 1 species
UGGGGAAUUUUGGACAAUGGGCGAAAGCCUGAUCCAGCAAUGCCGCGUGUGUGAAGAAGGCCUUCGGGUUGUAAAGCACUUUUGUCCGGAAAGAAAUCCUUGGCUCUAAUACAGUCGGGGGAUGACGGUACCGGAAGAAUAAGCACCGGCUAACUACGUGCCAGCAGCCGCGGUAAUACGUAGGGUGCAAGCGUUAAUCGGAAUUACUGGGCGUAAAGCGUGCGCAGGCGGUUUGCUAAGACCGAUGUGAAAUCCCCGGGCUCAACCUGGGAACUGCAUUGGUGACUGGCAGGCUAGAGUAUGGCAGAGGGGGGUAGAAUUCCACGUGUAGCAGUGAAAUGCGUAGAGAUGUGGAGGAAUACCGAUGGCGAAGGCAGCCCCCUGGGCCAAUACUGACGCUCAUGCACGAAAGCGUGGGGAGCAAACAGGAUUAGAUACCCUGGUAGUCCACGCCCUAAACGAUGUCAACUAGUUGUUGGGGAUUCAUUCUUAGUAACGUAGCUAACGCGUGAAGUUGACCGCCUGGGGAGUACGGUCGCAAGAUUAAAACUCAAAUGAAUUGACGGGGUCAUA